GUUGGUGCUGUCAUUUUAUUGUACUCUGAUUUUUUGUUAAAAUAUAUAGUUACAAUUUAUGGCAUUUUACAGUUUUGGAUCGGCGGCAGUUGUGCUCGCCAUGGUUAAGAGAGUUAUUUAAAAAUUACAAUUUCAAGGACGAUUUUGAUUUGCUUGGCAGCAGUUAUUCGCGCCAUGAUUAGAGUUAGGAUUUUACGUUAAGUAGACUUAGCUUGUGGUAGUUAACAUUUUUAUAAGUAGUAGUAGUUUUAUGCUUGAGUUAUGAGUAGUAGUAGUUUUAAGCUUAAGUUAUAAGUAGUAGUAGUUUUAAGCUUAAGUAAUUAAUAAGAGAAAAUUUGUAGUAUUAAGGGGAAACAGUUUUGGGUGGAUAUAUAUUCUAAUUUAAAUUUUUGUGGCAUAGGAUUCCAGCGAUGAGACUCUGGCUGAUGGCGGCGACGACGAGCAGUUGCUAUCAUCCGAGGAGAUAGAUAGCACUGUUGCCCAUCCUUCACUUUGGUCUCCAUUAUGUCCGUCCAUUUUGUAUGCUGCGUUCCGUCUUGUUCACUUUGGUUAGCUGUUGCACUGGUGCCUCUGCCGGAUUUUCAAUCACCACUAACGCGCCGUUCUAGUUGGGAAGCCUAGGCGGGCUAUUGGGCUAUCGAUAAUUCGGAGGGAAAAAAGCACGGCUAGUAAUCGGUGUUCUGGCGAUUUUCCCGUCAGAAUGGUUACCGAUAUAUCGCUUCGCGUUGGCCGAUGUCAUUGGACAUUAUCAGUAGCUGGUCUCACUACUCCUGGGCUUCGAUAAAUCGGAGGUAAAAGCAAUAUAGCUGGUAAUCGAUGUUCUGGCAUUUUUCCCGCCAGAAUCUUUAUCGAUACCCUGCUUCGCGUUAGCCGGUAUUCCAGGUCAUUCUCGGUAGCUGGUCUCACUACAACUUGGAAAAGGGAAAGGAAAUCAUAUGUUACCUUUGUUGAUCGUCGCUGCUCAUCGCGCCACCGCGGAGAUGCCAUCCUGUACCAGGCAUCGGACAAUCUGGCCCGUCAGGCCUGAUGAGAUGAUCCAGAUUUGUUUCUUGAAAACGCCGGCGACUGUUCGUAAGUCCAACCGAUUGGCAAGGUGCCUAGGCUGGACGGUUUUUGCAGGUAAGUAUUAUGUUUGUAUUUGUUUAUUUAUAUAGUUGCAUUAUUUGUUGUUUUUCAGGUAUAUUUUUCAGGUCGGCUAUUCUGAAGGUACUUUUGUAGCAGCUAAUUUUGAGGCCGUCGUAGCUGUGAUGCCGUGGUUUUGGGUUAUUCAAGUUUGCGAUUAAUAUUUGUUGCAGCUCAUAUUGAGGCCGUCGCUGCUGGGAUCCCUUGGUUUUGAUUUCUUUACGUUUGCGAUUAAUGUUUGUAGCAGCUAAUAUUAAGGCCGACGCAACUGGGAUGCCAAGGAAUUGGGUUCUUAAAGUUUGCGAUUAAUGUUUGUAGCAGCUAAUAUUAAAGCCAUCGAAGCUGGGAUGCCGUGGUUUUGAGUUCUUCAAGUUUGCGGUUGGUCUGGAGGUGCAGUUGUAGCAACUCUUAUUUAGGCCGUCGCAGCUGGGAUGCCGUGGUUUUGGGUUUUUUAAGUUUGCAGUUAAUUCUGGAGGGUACAUUUGUAGCGACUCAUAUUAAGGCCGUCGCAGUUGGGAUGCCGUGGUUUUGGGUUCUUCAACUGCAACUGCUUCGCUGCUGCUGAUGGUGGUGGCUGCGUCGCCUCUGUUGCUGCUGUCGGUGGCAUCUGCGUCGCUGCUAUUGCUGCUGAUGUUUGUGACUGAGUAGCUGCUGUUUCUGCUGAUGGUGAUGACUGCGUAGCUGCGGGUGGCGACUGCAUCGCUGGUGGUGGUGAGUGCGUCGCUGCUGAUUGCUGCUGUAAUAGCUACGGGCUGGCGGGCUGUGCUGACCUGGAGCCGUCGUUGAGCUGCUAUCCGGCCGGAUCGUCGUCGUCUUCGCCAUUAUACGGUUCGUUGUUGCUGUUUGCCACACCGCCACGGAGACGCUAGCUUGAGUGGAAACAGCCUGCCUGGUCAGUCUACCCUGAUGCGAGCAUACAAACUGCAGCUGGAGGGAGGCAUUCGUCGAGUCCAACGUAGUUGCCAGGAGACAUGCUAGGGUAAAACGCCGCUGUUAAUUUGUUCCAGUGUGUUGACCAGGGUCAAGACAAAAAGUCGGGUCGUCAAAAUUUCCAAAUGGCUGUUGAGGCAAGAAAACUCCCUGCUGUUGCUGCAGCUGCUUGUUGUUGCUUCUGCUGGGGCAUGUGUUUACACCUGCUGAUCCCGUUUAUUAAUGAGGGCGCUACUUGUUGCUGCUGUGCUGACAUCGGAGUGGUAGGCGAGAGACAAGUUGGCAUCAUUCUCGAGGCUCCCAACAGGCCUGGUCAUCUUACAUUCCAAUGUCACUGAUCACCACAUCCUACACUGUGAUGCCAGCAUGUAUCAGGCGUCGGCCAUUCGGGUCCGUCAGCCCUGAUGCAGGCAUCCCAAUUUUGGCAGGAAGGAAAACAAGCGCCGCAGUUCAGGUGCUUUUACAGGAACACGCCGGUUUUCAGGAAUGAAAUUUUAUUGUAUUUUUUUAAAAAAGAGAAGGAAAACUAAAAAAUUAUUCUCUUUCUUUCAGGAAAAACGGUGGUGAAGUGCCAGACAAAGCGGCAGAUGGAGCCUUCAUAAAGCGGCGAUUGUUUCAGGCACAAAUCCAUCAGUUUGGAAUGAGAGACGGAUCACCAGUGAUGCAUUCACCAUCUCGCCAGGAUAGCGCAAUUCGAUUGCGCAGUCUAUAUCAUCCAGUAGGUGUUAUAAGUUAGAUUUUACCAUUUAUAUGUAAGACAUUUCCCUUUAUAAAAUAACCUGUAAGUGA